UGAGGAAUAUUGGGCAAUGCCCGCAAGGGUGACCCAGCAACGCCGCGUGGAGGAUGAAUGUCGUAAGAUUGUAAACUCCUGUUAGAGGGGAAGAAUAACUAAGUUUGGAGCUUAGUAUGACUGUACCCUCAGAGAAAGCCCCGGCUAACUACGUGCCAGCAGCCGCGGUAAUACGUAGGGGGCAAGCGUUGUCCGGAUUUACUGGGUGUAAAGGGCGCGCAGGCGGGAUAAAAAGUCAGUGGUGAAAUCCUACAGCUUAACUGUAGAACUGCCUUUGAUACUUUUAUUCUUGAGUUCGGGAGAGAGAGACGGAAUUCCAGGUGUAGUGGUGAAAUACGUAGAUAUCUGGAAGAACACCAGUUGCGAAGGCGGUCUCUUGGUCCGACACUGACGCUGAGGCGCGAAAGCGUGGGGAGCAAACA
rnacentral:rRNA from 1 species